GUCCACGCUGUAAACGAUGAGGACUAAAGGUUUGCAGGGGAACCUGUGAGUCUUGAAGCUAACGCGAUAAGUCUUCCGCCUGGGAAGUACGGCCGCAAGGUUGAAACUCAAAUGAAUUGACGGGGGCCCGCACAAGCGGUGUAGCAUGUGGUUUAAUUCGAUGCAACGCGAAGAACCUUACCUACCCUUGACAUCCUGCGAAUCCUGAUGAAAGUUGGGAGUGCCGCAAGGAGCGCAGAGACAGGUGCUGCAUGGCUGUCGU
rnacentral:rRNA from 1 species